GAGUUUGAUCGUGGCUCAGAUUGAACGCUGGCGGCAUGCCUUACACAUGCAAGUCGAACGGCAGCACGGGAGCUUGCUCCUGGUGGCGAGUGGCGAACGGGUGAGUAAUGCAUCGGAACGUAUCCUGGAGUGGGGGAUAACGUAGCGAAAGUUACGCUAAUACCGCAUAUUCUGUGAGCAGGAAAGCGGGGGACCUUCGGGCCUCGCGCUCUUGGAGCGGCCGAUGUCGGAUUAGCUAGUUGGUGAGGUAAAGGCUCACCAAGGCGACGAUCCGUAGCAGGUCUGAGAGGAUGAUCUGCCACACUGGAACUGAGACACGGUCCAGACUCCUACGGGAGGCAGCAGUGGGAUUUUGGACAAUGGGGGCAACCCUGAUCCAGCCAUGCCGCGUGAGUGAAGAAGGCCUUCGGUU
rnacentral:rRNA from 1 species